GGCCUCACCAAUUUCUUCAACUUCACGGAGCAUAGACUUUCUGUCUUCUGCUUUCCCAUUAAAAAUACAGUUUGACAAUGAAUAAAAGGCAAGUAAAUUUGCAUAAAGAGGUAAGAAUGCAUCUUUGUGGUUACCAACCCCACCAAUCCAAUCAAGUCCUCCCUGUGCAGCAACAUAAUCUUUGGCAAAUAAUACUAACUUCUGCCCAAACUGCCUCCUCCACUUCUGCAAAAUGUCCCUCACAUCACCACCUUCACCAGAGGUUGGAAGCUUCUCCAAAUGAUAACAACAUAUCUGGCAUAUCAAAAGUUUUUCUUCAUGAUGGUUGUCAAUCUCCUUGUCAAAGACACGUUUGAUAAGAUCUCCUUCAGAAAUAACACAAGCAUGGCUAGCAGAAUCAACAACCCUGCGGCAAAGGAAAUCAAGGUAGUCAAGACAGCGACCAAAGAUUGAUGAAAGAUGAUUGAAGCUCUUCUCAAUCACUUGCUCUACUUGGCUUGGGACCGCUCCUGUCCUUUCAGAACUUUUACAUCUAAAAC
rnacentral:misc_RNA from 1 species